rnacentral:lncRNA from 1 species
CGCCACCACGCCCGGUUAAUUUUUCCUAUUUUUUAGUAGAAACGCGGUUUCACCCUGUCAGCCUGGAUGGCCUCGAUAUCCUGACCUCAUGAUCCACCCGCCUCAGCCUCCCAAAGUGCUGGGAUUACAGGCGUGAGCCACCCUGCCCAGCCUUUUCAAAGCCUUUAAUAAGAAAAUGUUUCCUGUGAGUAAAUCUCAGGGUAGUGUUUUGGUGGGGAGGAUGCCUCCAAGAGAUGGGGAUGUGGAGCCAGGAUGAGUGACAGAAAGCCUGGAAUCUACCUUUCUUAGACUCACUUACUAGCAGUUACUGGUUUAGGUUUUGCCAGUGAGAAACUCGUGUGUGAGACUUGGAAGGUGAACAAGAAGAAGAAGCCAUUGAUCUUCAGUGGGAGCUGCAGGCAGCUAUAUGGGCAUUGGAGAUGGCAGGCCCUCCCUACACAGAAAAAAAGAUGGCAAUCAGCAGCUCAAACUCAGAUCCUACUAUGAUGGCAAUGGCAUAAAGAUUGAGCUUUGCUCCUAAUCACUUUUAAGAAGGUCUAAGUAAGACUUCAAGUGACUUAGCUGUGUCCCAUAUGCAGCCUUCAGUCAUUUGCUGUAACUGGCUGAACAGAAUACUCUGACUAGGCCUGACUCACGAGUCUCCCCAGGAAGCACAGAGAGCAGGUAUCCACUUCCCUGCAACUGCAUAGCCUGAAUGGCACUGCUUCCACCGAAUCUCAACCCUGUGAACUAAAUUGCAUGGUGUCCACUUCACCCCAGCCACAAAGACUGAAUACCUUUAUGUCCACCUUACUCCAACCAUAUGGACGGAACAGGAAUCUUAUGAGGUGAACACAUGUUAAGUACUGUCAGUAGAGGAUGCAGGAGAGACAUUGAGAGAGGAUGAAGGAUUCUUCUAAUUCUGUACACCUGCCAAAGUCUCACCUCAGCUGCCUGCCUAGAAAGGCUGCUUCCCAUGACCCUCUCUACCUGAAGACCACAUGUUCUAAUUCUCAUGCAAAAGCCCCAUCCUCACUCCCUCUUUAUACAUUCACUUAUGAACUGUGGCUCUCUGCCACCUCAUUUCCUGCUUGCCCAGCGACCAUGGACCAGCUCUGAUCUGAGUGUCCUAGGAAACUUCUCUGGAGGUUGCAACUACACCUUCUCCAACAAGACCUGAACCCCACCUUGGAAUCCCCACUUCAACCUUGUCCUUCAUUGCAUCAUUUCCCUGAGCCCUAGGCUAACCAGCAGAGUUCUCUUUACAUCCUUAUAUUUACUUCCCUGCCAUAUUUAAUAAUUCUUUACAUUAAAAAGUUCCUGUUCAAAUUACUAUGAUUUCUUUUUCCUGAUUGAAUUUAGAUGGAUAUAUCCUCUUCAUAAUAAAUUCCAUUUCUCUUGGACUAAUUUGAAUGAAUGUCUGUUUCUUUUGAUCACGAAAACUGGCUACAAAUAGGCAGGACACAACAACUGAGUUUCCUCUGUUUGAGAUUCUUGCCCUUGUCCUUUGACUCUCACAGAAUUUUAUGAAAUUGACCUCAGUGCCUACAACUGACUGCACAUGACAAAAUGCAGAACACUUAGAUUUGAUGAACACAAGGCUUGACAUAUUUGUCAAUAGUACCAGGAAUAGUUUUGCAUACUAUAAUAUUUAACAGCCACAGGAGAA